UACAGAGGGUGCAAGCGUUAAUCGGAAUUACUGCGCGUAAAGCGUGCGCAGUCGGUUAUUUAAGUCGGAUGUGAAAUCCCCGGGCUCAACCUGGGAAUUGCAUUCGAGACUGAAUAGCUAGGGUACGGUAGAGGGAAGUGGAAUUUCCGGUGUAGCGGUGAAAUGCGUAGAUAUCGGAAGGAACAUCAGUGGCGAAAGCGACUUCCUGGACCAGUACCGACGUUCAGGCACGAAAGCGUGGGGAGCAAACAGG
rnacentral:rRNA from 1 species